rnacentral:lncRNA from 1 species
UAUAUUUUCGCAGGUCUAAUAUAAGCUUGGUUAAAAAAUUGGAGUUUUAACGAAAAGCCCGUGAUACUGUUUAUUUUAACGAAAAAUCAUAUUUUUACACUAAAAUGUCAAACUUGAUACUUUUUACUUUACUCUUUAUUUUGCCUUUAUCGUUAAAACUCAAAGUUUUCAAGUCAUUUUCAUUAGUUUUCCUUUUAAAAAUACUUUUAAAAAAAAUUUGCCCAUAAAUGCUUUAAAAAAUAUAUUAAUUUUUUAAUCAAAAUGCAAGUGAUUCUUGAAAACACGUUUAAUUCUUUUUUGUCACUUCUUGGAAGCACGUUUAAUAUAUAUUUUUUUGUCAAAUAUAAUAAAAAAUAAUUUUGAAAUCGCUUUUAAUUAUUUUAAGGACAUUUAAACAGGUUUGUAAAUUUUUAACAGAAUUAAAAUAAACAAAUAGAUAACGGAAAGAAAAAAAAGAAAGCCCUUUGGUUAUAAUCAUGAGAAAUACAUUAAAAUGGCUUCUUUCUUUUGCAAAAAAUUUCCCAUGGUUAUUUGGGAAUAGUGGCAGUUUUGGGCAUGUGCAAUAGGUGCUCUUGUACAGGACUUCCAAUUUUAAAGGCCCCCUAAAAGAUGGUAUCAUUUACAUAUGUACCAACUUGGUUUGUGGCAAAAAAAUUUCAACAAAUUUUCUAGAUUUUACAUGUGAGUAAGAGAAAUAUUGCCUCCAUAUGCAUAAGAGAAAUCAUUUUUAUGUUUUUAGUAAGAUUAUGCCGGCUUUGCUCUAAAUUUUGUUUUCAUUUAUUUGUUUUAUAUUUUUUGUUGAUUUAAACUAUAACUCAAGUAAUAAUUCUUCAUUUAUGUCCUUUAUUAAUACAACUAUAGACACAUAAAUUAGUUUUGUAGCAAAAAUAUUUGUAUAAUGGUCUGUUUAUUAUCUUCCCACACAUGACCCCUAAAAUUUAAGAGCCGUCCCAAUCUUGAAUCAAGAUAUAUGCUUGAAACUAGACGUAAUGUCGUAGGGCUGCUCAACCUAAGCCGUCCCCACCCUUAAUUUAUAUGAAAUAGACUUUCAUGGCCCAGAAAGUUGAAACCAACCACUUGCGAACGCACCAACGUCAAUAUUUAUAUCUACUAAAGCUCGGCAGAAAUGUACUGUUCAUUAGGCGAGAGGUAGCACUGUUUACCAAUAGUGAAAGGGCAGAGAUACCCUUGGUUUCUGCUUCGGCUCCCGUACUGUUUACAAUUUGCUACAGUGAAAAGUCCGUUUUGUCCUUCGUGGCCUCGCGUCUCUCAUCCGCACGCACUCCCUUCUUUGCUACAUCCGAAGCCUUUGAAAAAGGGGUGUGCUCCUUUUUACUUUUCACACACCUCUUGUUAAUUUUUACCGUUUGAUCUUCUUCAAUUCAUCCGAUCCAACGACUGA